rnacentral:rRNA from 1 species
GACGGCCUUCGGGUUGUAAACCGCUUUCAGCGCAGACGAAGCGAAAGUGACGGUAUGCGCAGAAGAAGCACCGGCCAACUACGUGCCAGCAGCCGCGGUGAUACGUAGGGUGCGAGCGUUGUCCGGAAUUAUUGGGCGUAAAGAGCUUGUAGGCGGUUUGUUGCGUCAGAAGUGAAAACUCAGGGCUUAACCCUGAGCCUGCUUCUGAUACGGGCAGACUAGAGGAAGUUAGGGGAGAACGGAAUUCCUGGUGGAGCGGUGGAAUGCGCAGAUAUCAGGAGGAACACCGGUGGCGAAGGCGGUUCUCUGGGACUUUCCUGACGCUGAGAAGCGAAAGCGUGGGGAGCAAACAGGCUUAGAUACCCUGGUAGUCCACGCCGUAAACGGUGGGUACUAGGUGUGGGUCACAUUCCACGUGAUCCGUGCCGCAGCUAACGCAUUAAGUACCCC